rnacentral:rRNA from 1 species
CCCUUAGAGUUUGAUCCUGGCUCAGAACGAACGCUGGCGGCGUGGAUAAGACAUGCAAGUCGAACGAGAGAAUUGCUAGCUUGCUAAUAAUUCUCUAGUGGCGCACGGGUGAGUAACACGUGAGUAACCUGCCCCCAAGAGUGGGAUAGCCCCGGGAAACUGGGAUUAAUACCGCAUAAAAUCGCAAGAUUAAAGCAGCAAUGCGCUUGGGGAUGGGCUCGCGUCCUAUUAGUUAGUUGGUGAGGUAACGGCUCACCAAGGCGAUGACGGGUAGCCGGUCUGAGAGGAUGUCCGGCCACACUGGAACUGAGACACGGUCCAGACACCUACGGGUGGCAGCAGUCGAGAAUCAUUCACAAUGGGGGAAACCCUGAUGGUGCGGCGCCGCGUGGGGGAAUGAAGGUCUUCGGAU